GACGAACGCUGGCGGCGUGCUUAACACAUGCAAGUCGAACGGAAAGGCCCUGCUUUUGUGGGGUGCUCGAGUGGCGAACGGGUGAGUAACACGUGAGUAACCUGCCCUUGACUUUGGGAUAACUUCAGGAAACUGGGGCUAAUACCGGAUAGGAGCUCCUGCUGCAUGGUGGGGGUUGGAAAGUUUCGGCGGUUGGGGAUGGACUCGCGGCUUAUCAGCUUGUUGGUGGGGUAGUGGCUUACCAAGGGUUUGACGGGUAGCCGGCCUGAGAGGGUGACCGGCCACAUUGGGACUGAGAUACGGCCCAGACUCCUACGGGAGGCAGCAGUGGGGAAUAUUGCACAAUGGGCGGAAGCCUGAUGCAGCAACGCCGCGUGCGGGAUGACGGCCUUCGGGUUGUAAACCGCUGUCGCCUGUGACGAAGCGUGAGUGACGGUAAUGGGUAAAGAAGCACCGGCUAACUACGUG
rnacentral:rRNA from 1 species